CCUACGGGAGGCAGCAGUGGGGAAUAUUGGGCAAUGGGCGAAAGCCUGACCCAGCAACGCCGCGUGAAGGAAGAAGGCUUUCGGGUUGUAAACUUCUUUUGACAGGGAAGAGCAGAAGACGGUACCUGUCGAAUAAGCCACGGCUAACUACGUGCCAGCAGCCGCGGUAAUACGUAGGUGGCAAGCGUUGUCCGGAUUUACUGGGUGUAAAGGGCGUGUAGCCGGGCUGACAAGUCAGAUGUGAAAUCCGGGGGCUCAACCCCCGAACUGCAUUUGAAACUGUUGGUCGUGAGUAUCGGAGAGUCAGGGGGAGUUACUAGUGUAGCGGGGAGAGGCGGAGAGAGUAGGAGGAACACCAG
rnacentral:rRNA from 1 species